rnacentral:RNase_P_RNA from 1 species
GGAGCGGGCGGUGGCGAUCGCCGGGUCGGCGCAGGUUGAUCCGGAGGAAAGUCCGAACUGGGCAGGGCACGGUGGUUGGUAACGCCAACCCGGGGCGACCCGAGGGAAAGUGCCACAGAAAUGACACCGCCUACGUCGGUCCAACGGCGCCGUUCGCGGCGUCCGACGGGUCCGGCCGGCAAGGGUGAAAUGGUGCGGUAAGAGCGCACCGCGUCGAUGGCGACAUCGACGGCAGGGUAAACCCCACCGCCAGCAAGCCCGCGCAGCGGCCAGAGGCGGCCCGCCUCGCCGGCGAUUUCGAUCGCCCGUAGCCGCGGGUAGGGUGCUUGAGCCGACGGGCGACCGUCGGCCCAGAUGAAUGAUCGCCCGCCGGCGUCGUCGUGCCGUUCGCGGCGCGCGGAUGCCGGCGAACAGAACUCGGCUUACAAGCCCGCUCCCUUU